CACGUAGGGGGCAAGCGUUGUCCGGAUUUAUUGGGCGUAAAGAGCUCGUAGGCGGCUUGUUGCGUCAGCUGUGAAAACCCGCAGCUCAACUGUGGGCUUGCAGCUGAUACGGGCAGGCUUGAGUUCGGUAGGGGAGACUGGAAUUCCUGGUGUAGCGGUGAAAUGCGUAGAUAUCGGGAGGAACACCAGUGGCGAAGGCGAUCAUCUGGGGUUGUUCUGACACUGAGGAGCGAAAGCUAGGGGAGCAAACGGG
rnacentral:rRNA from 1 species